rnacentral:rRNA from 1 species
UACGGAGGGGGCUAGCGUUGUUCGGAAUUACUGGGCGUAAAGGGCGCGUAGGUGGCCUUCUAAGUUGAACGUGAAAUCCCUGGGCUCAACCCAGGAACUGCGUCCAAGACUGGGAGGCUUGAAUCCGGGAGAGGGAUGCGGAAUUCCAGGUGUAGCGGUGAAAUGCGUAGAGAUCCGGAGGAACACCGACGGCGUAGGCAGCGCCCUGGACGACACAUGACGCUGAGGCACGAAAGCUGGGGAGCGAACAGG